GCACCUUUGGUGUAAUUGGUAACACGAUGGUCUCCAAAACCAUAGUUUAGAGUUCAAGUCUUUAAGGGUGUGCA
rnacentral:tRNA from 3 species